GACGAACGCUGGCGGCGCGCUUAACACAUGCAAGUCGAACGGAAAGGCCUGCUUUCCCUUGUGGAUUGCGGGUACUCGAGUGGCGAACGGGUGAGUAACACGUGAGUGAUCUGCCCCCAACUUGGGUAUAAGCCUGGGAAACUGGGUCUAAUUCCCGAUAGGACUGCAGGGUGGUGCCUGUGGUGGAAAACGAUUUUCUAGUGGUUGGGGAUGAGCUCGCGGCCUAUCAGCUUGUUGGUGGGGUAAUGGCCUACCAAGGCGGCGACGGGUAGCCGGCCUGAGAGGGUGGACGGCCACAUUGGGACUGAGAUACGGCCCAGACUCCUACGGGAGGCAGCAGUGGGGAAUAGAGCACAAUGGGCGGAAGCCUGAUGCAGCGACGCAGCGUGGGGGAUGACGGCCUUCGGGUUGUAAACUCCUUUCGACCGAGAGGAAGCCACCUGGUUGGAAGGGUGGUGACGGUAGUGGUAGAAGAAGCACCGGCUAACUACGUG
rnacentral:rRNA from 1 species